rnacentral:snoRNA from 13 species
GUUCCCAGUGAUGCUUAAAUAUGAACCAUGCUAAUGCUGAUCAUUGGAUGACUGAAACUCUUUCUCAAUCUUGCUGAGGGAACA